rnacentral:rRNA from 1 species
UACGUAGGGAGCAAGCGUUGUCCGGAAUCAUUGGGCGUAAAGCGCGCGUAGGUGGCCUCAUAAGUCCGCUGUGAAAGUCAAAGGCUCAACCUUUGAAAGCCGGUGGAUACUGUGGGGCUAGAGCACGGAAGAGGCGAGUGGAAUUCCUGGUGUAGCGGUGGAAUGCGCAGAUAUCAGGAGGAACACCAAUAGCGAAGGCAGCUCGCUGGGACGUUACUGACACUGAGGCGCGAAAGCGUGGGGAGCGAACAGG